GUGGCUCUGAUAACACUGUUGAAAUUUCAUGUCGGAGUAUACAUGUAUGUUUCAAAAAAAAAAUUUCUAAACAACAUAGUGAAAUAGAAGAUUAAAAUAUCUUUUAAUCUAUAUUAUGCAUAUAUAAAAUAUAAAAUACUAAGAUCUACUUCAUAUGCUGAAAUUGAACAUAUACUGAAUUUUAUGCUGAAAUUGAAUAUGUGAUCAGAUCACAUAC
rnacentral:lncRNA from 1 species